rnacentral:ribozyme from 1 species
AUCAUUACAAACUUCAAUCAUUGUUAAUAGACUACUAUAGGCUCUCCUUCUCAACUCCUAUUCAAUACGUCCACGACGUGCAGAACGGUAACUUGUCGCCUAGAUCCAAGCUUGGGUACACGGAGAAACCCAACCCCUUGGGCGGGCUGAAUUGAGAGGUGGAAUGGA